ACCCGCUGAACUUAAGCAUAUCAAUAAGCGGAGGAAAAGAAACUAACAGGGAUUGCCCUAGUAACGGCGAGUGAAGCGGCAACAGCUCAAAUUUGAAAUCUGGCGUCUUUGGCGUCCGAGUUGUAAUUUGCAGAGGGCGCUUUGGCAUUGGCAGCGGUCCAAGUUCCUUGGAACAGGACGUCACAGAGGGUGAGAAUCCCGUACGUGGUCGCUAGCCUUUACCGUGUAAAGCCCCUUCGACGAGUCGAGUUGUUUGGGAAUGCAGCUCUAAAUGGGAGGUAAAUUUCUUCUAAAGCUAAAUACUGGCCAGAGACCGAUAGCGCACAAGUAGAGUGAUCGAAAGAUGAAAAGCACUUUGGAAAGAGAGUUAAAAAGCACGUGAAAUUGUUGAAAGGGAAGCGCUUGCAGCCAGACUUGCCUGUAGUUGCUCAUCCGGGUUUCUACCCGGUGCACUCUUCUAUAGGCAGGCCAGCAUCAGUUUGGGCGGUUGGAUAAAGGUCUCUGUCAUGUACCUCUCUUCGGGGAGAACUUAUAGGGGAGACGACAUGCAACCAGCCUGGACUGAGGUCCGCGCAUCUGCUAGGAUGCUGGCGUAAUGGCUGU
rnacentral:rRNA from 1 species